rnacentral:misc_RNA from 1 species
CUGAGUAAUUGGGUCUCUAAGGCUCAUACUCCCACCCUUUGUGUACCUUACCAAAUUUUUAAGUUGCCUUGGUAGGAACCCUUACCCUUUUGUUAGAGUAGGGGCCUACCAUUGGAACUAUUUUAAACUCUUAUCAAUUGAGUCGUCUGAGAAAAAAAUUCAAAUGAAUUA